UGAAACAUUUUUGUUGUAAAUAUGGCCCGAGUGGUCUUUGUAAGGAGGGCAGAUGCAUUUACAGCGGACAUCCUCAUAAUUCUUGGGUCCUGCGCCCAGC